GACGUAGGGCGCGAGCGUUGUCCGGAUUUAUUGGGCGUAAAGAGCUCGUAGGCGGCUGUUGCGUCGGCUGUGAAAUCCCGUGGCUUAACUGCGGUCUGCAGCCGAUACGGGCAGGCUGGAGUUCGGAUGAGGGGAGACUGGAAUUCCUGGAUGUAGCGGUGAAAUGCGCAGAUAUCAGGAGGAACACCGGUGGCGAAGGCGG
rnacentral:rRNA from 1 species